UCCUGAGUAGCUCAGUUGGUAAAGAAUCUGCCUGCAAUGCAGGAGACCCUGGUUUGAUUCCUGGGUCGGGAA
rnacentral:tRNA from 1 species